rnacentral:rRNA from 1 species
UUAAGCGACUAAGCGUACACGGUGGAUGCCCUGGCAGUCAGAGGCGAUGAAGGACGUGCUAAUCUGCGAUAAGCGUCGGUAAGGUGAUAUGAACCGUUAUAACCGGCGAUUUCCGAAUGGGGAAACCCAGUGUGAUUCGUCACACUAUCAUUAACUGAAUCCAUAGGUUAAUGAGGCGAACCGGGGGAACUGAAACAUCUAAGUACCCCGAGGAAAAGAAAUCAACCGAGAUUCCCCCAGUAGCGGCGAGCGAACGGGGAGCAGCCCAGAGCCUGAAUCAGUGUGUGUGUUAGUGGAAGCGUCUGGAAAGGCGUGCGAUACAGGGUGACAGCCCCGUACACAAAAAUGCACAUACUGUGAGCUCGAUGAGUAGGGCGGGACACGUGGUAUCCUGUCUGAAUAUGGGGGGACCAUCCUCCAAGGCUAAAUACUCCUGACUGACCGAUAGUGAACCAGUACCGUGAGGGAAAGGCGAAAAGAACCCCGGCGAGGGGAGUGAAAAAGAACCUGAAACCGUGUACGUACAAGCAGUGGGAGCACGCUUAGGCGUGUGACUGCGUACCUUUUGUAUAAUGGGUCAGCGACUUAUAUUCUGUAGCAAGGUUAACCGAAUAGGGGAGCCGAAGGGAAACCGAGUCUUAACUGGGCGUUAAGUUGCAGGGUAUAGACCCGAAACCCGGUGAUCUAGCCAUGGGCAGGUUGAAGGUUGGGUAACACUAACUGGAGGACCGAACCGACUAAUGUUGAAAAAUUAGCGGAUGACUUGUGGCUGGGGGUGAAAGGCCAAAUCAAACCGGGAGAUAGCUGGUUCUCCCCGAAAGCUAUUUAGGUAGCGCCUCGUGAAUUCAUCUCCGGGGGUAGUGCACUGUUUCGGCAAGGGGGUCAUCCCGACUUACCAACCCGAUGCAAACUGCGAAUACCGGAGAAUGUUAUCACGGGAGACACACGGCGGGUGCUAACGUCCGUCGUGAAGAGGGAAACAACCCAGACCGCCAGCUAAGGUCCCAAAGUCAUGGUUAAGUGGGAAACGAUGUGGGAAGGCCCAGACAGCCAGGAUGUUGGCUUAGAAGCAGCCAUCAUUUAAAGAAAGCGUAAUAGCUCACUGGUCGAGUCGGCCUGCGCGGAAGAUGUAACGGGGCUAAACCAUGCACCGAAGCUGCGGCAGCGACGCUUAUGCGUUGUUGGGUAGGGGAGCGUUCUGUAAGCCUGUGAAGGUGUACUGUGAGGUAUGCUGGAGGUAUCAGAAGUGCGAAUGCUGACAUAAGUAACGAUAAAGCGGGUGAAAAGCCCGCUCGCCGAAGACCAAGGGUUCCUGUCCAACGUUAAUCGGGGCAGGGUGAGUCGACCCCUAAGGCGAGGCCGAAAGGCGUAGUCGAUGGGAAACAGGUUAAUAUUCCUGUACUUGGUGUUACUGCGAAGGGGGACGGAGAAGGCUAUGUUGGCCGGGCGACGGUUGUCCCGGUUUAAGCGUGUAGGCUGGUUUUCCAGGCAAAUCCGGAAAAUCAAGGCCGAGGCGUGAUGACGAGGCACUACGGUGCUGAAGCAACAAAUGCCCUGCUUCCAGGAAAAGCCUCUAAGCAUCAGGUAACAUCAAAUCGUACCCCAAACCGACACAGGUGGUCAGGUAGAGAAUACCAAGGCGCUUGAGAGAACUCGGGUGAAGGAACUAGGCAAAAUGGUGCCGUAACUUCGGGAGAAGGCACGCUGAUACGUAGGUGAAGCGACUUGCUCGUGGAGCUGAAAUCAGUCGAAGAUACCAGCUGGCUGCAACUGUUUAUUAAAAACACAGCACUGUGCAAACACGAAAGUGGACGUAUACGGUGUGACGCCUGCCCGGUGCCGGAAGGUUAAUUGAUGGGGUUAGCGCAAGCGAAGCUCUUGAUCGAAGCCCCGGUAAACGGCGGCCGUAACUAUAACGGUCCUAAGGUAGCGAAAUUCCUUGUCGGGUAAGUUCCGACCUGCACGAAUGGCGUAAUGAUGGCCAGGCUGUCUCCACCCGAGACUCAGUGAAAUUGAACUCGCUGUGAAGAUGCAGUGUACCCGCGGCAAGACGGAAAGACCCCGUGAACCUUUACUAUAGCUUGACACUGAACAUUGAGCCUUGAUGUGUAGGAUAGGUGGGAGGCUUUGAAGUGUGGACGCCAGUCUGCAUGGAGCCGACCUUGAAAUACCACCCUUUAAUGUUUGAUGUUCUAACGUGGACCCGUAAUCCGGGUUGCGGACAGUGUCUGGUGGGUAGUUUGACUGGGGCGGUCUCCUCCUAAAGAGUAACGGAGGAGCACGAAGGUUGGCUAAUCCUGGUCGGACAUCAGGAGGUUAGUGCAAUGGCAUAAGCCAGCUUGACUGCGAGCGUGACGGCGCGAGCAGGUGCGAAAGCAGGUCAUAGUGAUCCGGUGGUUCUGAAUGGAAGGGCCAUCGCUCAACGGAUAAAAGGUACUCCGGGGAUAACAGGCUGAUACCGCCCAAGAGUUCAUAUCGACGGCGGUGUUUGGCACCUCGAUGUCGGCUCAUCACAUCCUGGGGCUGAAGUAGGUCCCAAGGGUAUGGCUGUUCGCCAUUUAAAGUGGUACGCGAGCUGGGUUUAGAACGUCGUGAGACAGUUCGGUCCCUAUCUGCCGUGGGCGCUGGAGAACUGAGGGGGGCUGCUCCUAGUACGAGAGGACCGGAGUGGACGCAUCACUGGUGUUCGGGUUGUCAUGCCAAUGGCACUGCCCGGUAGCUAAAUGCGGAAGAGAUAAGUGCUGAAAGCAUCUAAGCACGAAACUUGCCCCGAGAUGAGUUCUCCCUGACCCUUUAAGGGUCCUGAAGGAACGUUGAAGACGACGACGUUGAUAGGCCGGGUGUGUAAGCGCAGCGAUGCGUUGAGCUAACCGGUACUAAUGAACCGUGAGGCUUAACCUU